ACACUUUCCCUCUCUAGAUCCGAGCUUUUUAUACGUUUUCCAAUGCUCCGCGCAUAUUUUCUUCGCUAAACCCUCUUGAUUCUCAUACUUUUGAACCGAUCAAAAUUUGGUUUCGACACUUUUUUCCUCAUUUUCACCCUUCUAGGCUUGUUUUCCUCAAGUUUCGUGAACUUCUCUGGGCUUAGACUUUUUCUCCCAUUUUCUCUCUCAUAGGGCUGACUUUUUCCAAGUUUACCCUAUUUUCAUCAUUUUUCUUCACGUUUCACCUACUUUUCACCCAUUUUCCAAAUGGCAGAUGAUUUACCACCUGACGGGGCCCCUCCUGAGGUUUCCCCCACAUUCCCACUUGUUAUUGAAGUAGAGGAGCCGGUCGUUGGUGACACUGGCGAGGCGGCUUAGGGUAUUAAGGUCGACCUCGAGGCAGACUUUGAGCCUGAGCUUGAGCUGGACCUACUACCAUUGAGGGUACGACCUUUUAAUCUAGCGAGGUAUUAUCUCCGCAUAGAUAUCUUGCCACCCGGAGGCAUUAGAUGAUUUAACGACUUUGAUCUAAGUGCACCGGAGGACCUUCUGCUGAGGGAGCUGGCUUCCCAUCUGAUUGUACUUUCAUCACUGGCUUAUCUAAUUCAUCUGUUCUUUGCCACAAGGGAAGGCUCGUGCCUUUAGAGGCUACGGAGCUACGACUGCGAGAGAUUGGUAUGACGAGCUCCCUGCAGGGGUCCAUGACAUUAUGGAUGAGACUGGCUUCGGCCUUUUCUGCUCCGGCCUAACACAGAUUAUUACGAGCCAUCCUCUUCUAGGUGCGAUUGUGGAGAGGUGGUGGGACACUACCAACUCCUUCCACUUCUCCACUAUUGGGGAGAUGAUGAUCACUCCUUACGACUUUGCCAUGAUCACCAGUUUAGGAAUGGGGGGUGAUCCAAUCCCAUUUGACACCGACAUGGGGGAGUGAGAGGCGGCUUGGAUAGAGCUGCUAGGAGCGUGUCCACCUUUGUACCAAACAACUAUGGACAGAUAUAGCUAGUUUGUUGAGCAGCUUAGAGGAAGCGAGCCGGAGACAUUAGAGGAGAUGGAGUACCCCAGGCUUCCUAAUGUUUGUCCUUGGUACCACCUUGUUUUUGAACAGGUGGAACAUCAUGGGCUUGUAUCUGUUGAGUGCCUUGGUGACCCUUGCCCAAGUGGCUUCUAUGACUGGAGCGGAGCUGGCCUUGCUACCCGGUACGAAUAUGUAAGCUUUAUAUCCGCGUGAGGGGAGAGCUGAUCGGAGGCUACUGGCGAGCUUGGGAGGUCUUGCCCUAGAGCCCAUGGAGGAGCUCCCACUGACCGUUCCUUACUCGAAGCGAUAUGAUGGCAGAUGUCGGCAUUGGAGCCGCGAGUCGUUCGUAUUCUUUCGCAAUUAUUUUGACAUAAUGGCUGCCCGCGAGAUCAUAUGGCAACCUUAGGCCAUGAUGCCGGCUGGGAUACACGAGUAGUAUGCAGGGGCCUGGGCCAUGUCGUGCUUUCGCAUUCUACUUGAGGGCCCAGUCUUCUGGGCUUCGUUCUUGAGUGAGCUGUUCGUCUGUCAGACUGUGGGCUUACUAGAUUCGAUCGUUUCAAUGCCACUGACAGAGCCUAUGAGAUCAGCAGGCAGCCUAUCCGUUGAUGUAGUUACACAGUUCAUGGUGGGCUUGAAUGCUUAUUACAUCAAGGCAGAGGGCGACUACGCGACCUUAUCCAAACAUGUCUCAUGCGACCUCUGACAGGCGCUCGCGAAGGCGAGGGGGCGAGGGCUCCCGCGGCGAAAGAGGCACCUAGGGCGACCAGGACCCGUGCUAGAGGGGCUGCUCGUGUAGAGUAGAGCACCCGUUAGCCAGUGCUUCCUACCGCACUCACAUGCUGACGGCAUACCGGGGCUGCUUACCAAGUCCCGAUUGAGCCUGCAACGGCUGAGCAUGAGCUUGUCGGAUUCGAGGCCCGACUAAGGUAUGGACCAUACUUUUGCACCCCACAUUUCAUUUUAGAUAUGUUUAUUGCGAACACUGAUCAUCCAAAUGCAUUUGCAAGCAUCCAUGGAGUACACAGGGAGCGAUCUCAAGUUGAUAGCCUCCUUCAUGGGUAUGGUGCAGAGGAGGGAGACGCUGUUCGGUCUCCUUGGCAUCCCGGUAAUUUCUUCAGUUUGUACUUCAUGCUAUCAUCUUUCCAUUGAUGCACUAGUAUUUUAACUGUAGUUUGUUCUAAACUACACUGAUACACUGCAUUGGCACACUGUAUUCACACACUGUACUCAUACACUAUAAUUGAUUUUUGCAUACACUCAUUCUGUAUACUAUGCUUGCAUCUGAUACACACACUAUAACUAAUAUGUUGACAACCGUCACUUUCUUAUUCCAUCGAUACCGAUGGCUCCAGCAGCACCAGCACUAGCAGUACCCCCUCCAGUAGCAGGGAGGAGAGGCAGAGAGAUAAGGGUACCCGAGGCCAGAGCAGUCCUCCAGAGCCUAUCUUGCGACAUGAUGAGGCUGAGACCAGGGACUCCGUAGGGGCAGUGAGUCCGCAUUUUGAGUCGUCCGAGAGUGGAGAUGAUGAUGUUAGCUUGGGUUCCGAGAGCGGAGGCGAUGAUGCAGAGGAGGGUUCUGGGGCAGAGAGCGGAGACGAUGCCAGCUCUGGUUCUGGCUUAGAGACUGAAUCAGACAGCGGCGCUGAUGGAGAUAGUGCCCCAAAGUCUUCUCCUCUGUGGAAGAGGACGAAGAGGGCCUCUCGAGCAUGACGCUACUGGUGCUGAUUUUUUAUUUUUGCUUAGUUUCUUUUUGGUUGGUAGCAUUAGCACAUGUAUAGCUCUAGAUA